CCUACGGGCGGCAGCAGUGGGGAAUAUUGCACAAUGGGGGAAACCCUGAUGCAGCGACGCCGCGUGAGUGAAGAAGUAAUUCGUUAUGUAAAGCUCUAUCAGCAGGGAAGAAAAUGACGGUACCUGAGUAAGAAGCCCCGGCUAACUACGGGCCAGCAGCCGCGGUAAUACGUAGGGGGCAAGCGUUAUCCGGAUUUACUGGGUGUAAAGGGAGCGUAGACGGCAGUGCAAGUCUGGAGUGAAAGGCGGGGGCUCAACCCCCGGACUGCUCUGGAAACUGUACGGCUGGAGUGCAGGAGAGGUAAGUGGAAUUCCUAGUGUAGCGGUGAAAUGCGUAGAUAUUAGGAGGAACACCAGUGGCGAAGGCGGCUUACUGGACUGUAACUGACGUUGAGGCUCGAAAGCGUGGGGAGCGAACAGGAUUAGAUACCCCAGUAGUC
rnacentral:rRNA from 1 species